ACGGAAGGCAGCAGUGGGGAAUAUUGCACAAUGGGCGCAAGCCUGAUGCAGCGACGCCGCGUGAAGGAUGAAGUAUUUCGGUAUGUAAACUUCUAUCAGCAGGGAAGAAAAUGACGGUACCUGACUAAGAAGCCCCGGCUAACUACGUGCCAGCAGCCGCGGUAAUACGUAGGGGGCAAGCGUUAUCCGGAUUUACUGGGUGUAAAGGGAGCGUAGAUGGCAUAGCAAGUCUGAAGUGAAAGCCCGGGGCUCAACCCCGGAACUGCUUUGGAAACUGUUAAGCUAGAGUGCAGGAGAGGUAAGCGGAAUUCCUAGUGUAGCGGUGAAAUGCGUAGAUAUUAGGAGGAACACCAGUGGCGAAGGCGGCUUACUGGACUGUAACUGACAUUGAGGCUCGAAAGCGUGGGGAGCAAACAGGAUUAGAUACCCUGGUA
rnacentral:rRNA from 1 species